CAACACAGAGCUAACAAUGGCCGAGGUUUCUCACACGUCUUCUACGCAAAAUGUCCACAUCAUCCUAUACACUUCCUCUAUCACUCAAACUUCUUAUAAAUGCAAAUUCACAUUCAAAUAAAAGAAAUCUAAUACGAAAUGGUAAAGGAAAAGGAAAAUAACAUGUGUAUUAUAUUCCCAAUACCGAAAUGGAGGUGUUUGGGUCACUCAUAGGAUAACAAAGGGCCACCAGGGCCCAUCUAGGUUAUCCUGUAUCAGUCGCACAGCGACCUCGUCAUAGAUACGGGUAACUGUAGGUAGAAUGGGCGAUCCAAGGCCAGGGGGGGGGAGAAGUUCCGGGCAGCCUGGCAGUCAUUCUUCCCUCACUCACUGUGGGUGGUGUGGUGUGGUGCCAUUACUCCAUUGUAAUAAACUGUCUUCACUGCCUCAUUGUGGUGUUGUCACUAAGUAAUAAAUUGUGUAGAAAUCUU